rnacentral:rRNA from 1 species
UUGGCAGCAGUAGGGAAUAUUGCACAAUGGGCGAAAGCCUGAUGCAGCAAUGCCGCGUGUGUGAAGAAGGCCUGAGGGUUGUAAAGCACUUUCAAUAGUGAAGAAAAGCAUAAGGUUAAUAACCUUAUGUGUUGACGUUAACUAUACAAGAAGCACCGGCUAACUCCGUGCCAGCAGCCGCGGUAAUACGGAGGGUGCAAGCGUUAAUCGGAAUUACUGGGCGUAAAGCGCGCGUAUGCGGUUUAGUAAGUCGGAUGUGAAAGCCCAGGGCUUAACCCUGGAAUUGCAUUCGAUACUGCUUGACUAGAGUAUGGUAGAGGGAAGUGGAAUUUCAAGUGUAGCGGUGAAAUGCGUAGAUAUUUGAAGGAACACCAGUGGUGAAGGCGACUUCCUGGGCCAAUACUGACGCUAAGGUGCGAAAGCGUGGGGAGCGAACAGGAUUAGAUACCCUGGUAGUCCACGCCGUAAACGAUGAGAACUAGAUGUUGGGGGGGUUACCCUUCAGUGUCGCAGCUAACGCGUUAAGUUCUCCGCCUGGGGAGUACGUCGGCAACGAUAAAACUCAAAGGAAUUGACGGAAACUUAAAGGAA